GAUGGUGGGCAGCCUUGAAGGAGCUGGUAAAGGCAAGCCCGGGCCGGACGAAGGUUUCCUAAGAGGUAUGAGCCAGGGAGGGAUUACUGAUAACGGGAUACACUCUACGAAGAAGAAGAAGAAGCAAGGUCGAGAGAUCCGCAGCGGUUUGAAAACGUUCAACGCUUGUGACAAUGGACUCAAAAAGAGGAGAAAACUACACUUUUUGAAUGUUUUUAUAAACCAGCUGCGGCUGAAGCCACAGAGGCAGCUUCAGAUCAACCUGCCAGCAAUUUGACGGCCGAAAACGGCGAAAAUGAGUCUGAUGUCAGUGUAGUUAGUGGCUAGCUAGCUGAAGCUAGCUCAUGCAGCAACUGUUUCAUCACACAGUGCAGCUAUUUGCAGUACUAUUAAUUAGUGCCAGUUUACAGGGCAGA